GCUACUCAGGCUGAUUUUAUAAAGAUUUUUAUAAUUUUAUACAUGUUUUUAAAGUCUGUUGAUUUUUGGUAUUUUUUAUAUAUAAACAGCUUGGUUUUAUUUUUUUAUUGAGUUGUGUAUAAAUCUUCUGAAAUAAAUAAAAAUGCAAAGCCAGUCCCCGAUCAUGAGUUGCAUCAUUGGAGGCCAAAUAAUAAAAUAAAAAUUAAACACUAGUGUAGAGCAGGAAGGGAUGGCGACUAAUAAAAUUCACAGGAAGUCUGUGGGUGAUUUAUUGAAGAAGGGAGAUGUGUGGACUGUGAGAUAAGAGCCCCAUGGGAGAUACAUCUUACUUACUCAUCACUGAUGGGUAACUCCAAAGGCUCACCCUAUUUCCUUGACUGUAAUUUUUUACAAAACAAAACAAAACAGAUUUUAAUGUUGUAAUUUUAAAUUACUGUAACCUGCUUUGGGACCUUAUGGUGAAAAGUGGGCAAGAAAAUGAAAUGAGGAUGAGUCAACCAUGCUACUGUAAAAUAGGAUUAGAAAUCACCACAAUGAAAAUCUCAGUUUUAAUAAUAAUAAUAAUAAUAAUAAUGUCUCAAGGACUUUGUGUUGUUAGCAUCCAUCUGUCUCAAGAGACAGGUGGACAAAGUACCCCAGAAGGUGCACAGUGUGUCCCCCACCAGAGGUACUACCCCUCCCCUAACACCCCUUUCACCCCACAGCGUUAAUAAAGGAAUCACAAUCAGCAGAUGAAGCUAUGAAGAGGAAGAUUACGGUACAGUAUUUUUCUUUCCUGGAAACAUUUACUGUAAUUUCAGCCGCAGGUGACUUUUAUGGGUCAUGCUUAUAUACCUUUACACUGUGUCAUUCUCCCUAGUUAUUUAUGGCUGAUUACUUCCCCCCGCCCCCUUUCUGAAGGCAUGAUGUCAGGAUUUGAGAAGCUUCAGUCUAAUGAUCUGUACAGCUGAAUACCAGAAGCAGUUUUAAAAAUGUAUUUCCUCCCCCCCCCCUUGGUUCCCAGGCAGUCAUGCGCUCUGGAAGAUGAAGCGAGGGGAGGAAUAUGCGGUACAAAAUUGUGUUUAUCUAUGUUAUGGUAACAGCUAGUUAGAAACAAGCCUUGAUGUUCUUUGAUUACUGUUAACUGCCUCAAGUGAAACUGAAGCAAAAUGCUUGUUCCUCUUAGCUUGAGAAGGCAACAUUUAUCAGGUUGGAGAAACCAAAGGACAGUCUUUUCCAAUUCUCACAAAACACGAUGAGGCAAUUACAUUACCAUUUUCUGUAGAAAGUAUUCUGCCUGUGAUGUUAAUUUUGUCUGGUUAUUUAGGGAGGGAAAAACACCCUUCAAUACAGGGAAGUAUUUCUAGAUUUUGAAACCCAGUCUCAUCAAUAACUCUCAUCAAUAAAGCUGAAACAAGGCUUCCAGGAAAUUUCCAGAAAUGCUGUUAGACCACAAAUUAGCAAAUUGUGCCUUUGUUGAGCAAAACACAAGUUGUGGCACUCAAGUUUGCACUGCUAGGUGGGUGAGAAUUCCUUGGGUGUGUAGAGGGAUAUGCGCUCCUGUGACUUCCGAGUUGACUUUGGGAUGCAGUAAAGCUUUGCAGCCAUCAGAAAGAUGUCCUAGACGUUAGCUAGAGCCACAAAAGAAUUGCAAUAUAAAAAAUGUUAAUUUUCACAAAAUCUCACAAUAGCCUUUUGAUUUCGUGAUCACAUCCGUAAUUGCUUUAGUCCAAAAGGUGGGACUCAACAUUUCAUGACAAAGCUGCUGGUGGUCUAGAUUAAGGUUAGCAGAUGUCCCCGUUUCCCGGGGACAGUCCCCAGAUUUACACAUCAGUCCCCAUACAAAAUCCAAUGAAGUUGAAAAGUGUCCCUGGAUUCAUUGAAAAAAAUCUGGUAACUUUAGUCUAGAUGCUAUAUGGAAUGCAAAAGAGAGUUUUUUAUGUAUUCAUUAAUGGGUUGCCGCAGGACUGCAAAUGCUAUGUUAUGCUGAAUAGUAUAAAAAUAUUGAAAAUCUUUUUCAAGGUAUCAAUUUUUUUCUUAAAACCACAAUUUUCUACAUCCUGGUUAUGCAGAGAAGUUGAAUGUGCACAUAUUUGCUUAUUUGCAUGAACAAUUCUGCUUCUGUCUGUGAUAAAGAGAUUCUGUGCAGACUAGUAAUGCACUUACAUGCCCUGACAAAUAGCAAUUCAUCUUGCAGUGCGGUCUUCAGCAUGUUUACUUGAAAGCAAAUUUCACUGAUCUCAGUGGGGGACUUUCUCUCCAAUAAGAACGCAUUUAUCAAUCAUUUACAGAUUAGAACUAUAAUGCUGUACUGUACUUCAGUGUUUCAUGAUUAUUAUUUGCUGUAUAAUUUUACCCAUUGAACCGCACUUUGAUAUUUUCAGAUUAUCAACAGCACGUGUCAUAACUAAAUGGCCCUACAUGCUUUCAAACUUUGCAGUUACGUGGGCUAGAAACUUGUUUUUUAGAUAAAAAGUCUUCGAAAGCUGAGAUGCUCAGUAUGCUGAAUUGAGCAUUUGAUGUCAAAUUCCAUGCUUGCAUGAUGCAGUGAUUAAAAGAAAACAGCCAUAGUUAUAUUAUGUGCUGUUAUGUAAUGUGAACUAGUUACACAUGGUGGCUAGAAUCACUAAAAUUUUGGCACCUUUAAAGACUAACACAUUUAUUGUGGCUUAAGGAUGUUUGUUGUAUGGGGUGUUAGGGGAGGAGUAGUACCUCUGGUGGAGACUCAUCAUGCUCCUUCUGGGGUAGUUUGUCCACCUUUAGUCCUGACGCUGCACUCAGCUCUCACCUGCGGCUCCUAGAAGCUGUCAGCAUGCAAAAGUGACCACAUCUCAGGAACAGCUACAACUGGCCAUCUAAACUGGGUGAGGGUAGCUGAUGGGCCUCAAACCCUCACUGAGAUAGAACUUCUUCUGCAUGCAAAGACAGGCUCUGGCGGAUUGGGCAGACAAGACUAACAGUGGGUCCAACGGUCAAGAAGGCGGUUUCUGCAUGUGCUGUAGAGGGAAAUGAGGGGCAGAUGGGGCUGGGAAGGUAGCUUAUCUAGGAUCCUACACCUCCGCUGCCUUGUGGGGUAUCUUCAGAAGAAGGAAAGGCACAGGAGUAAACCCUACACAAAUCCAGAGAGGAGUCCCUAAGGCAGUUGGAUGGCAGCUUGUACACCUUUUUUCCGGCAACGUAUUUCCUUUGAACAUCAGUGUGGCUGAGAGGGGGAUCUUGUCACAUGGGCAGUCCAGGACCUUCAUACAAACUGCCCAGGCUUGUGCCCCAGAGAGGUCACUUCGGUGAUGUUAACGCAGUGGUUUGAUUUCACCCAGAGACACAAUCCAUUGUCUCUUGAGAUGGAUGGAUGGAUGCCAGCAACAAGCAUGUUUGUGUAGAAAUGGCCAUAAAGAUCCAAAUAUAUACAAGUUGAGAACAAAAUGACCUUUCACAACUGCAGUCUUGGGUUGAAAUAAGCUCCUGCUUUCUAUACUAAACGAUCACCAUAAGCAGAAUAGUUUGUCUAGUGGGACAGAAACCCCCAACCUCACCUGAGCCUGAAUUCUAUUCUACAGAACUGUAUUUGCUAAUAAAUUCUACUUCAGCAGUUUCAUAUUGAAGAGUCCUUUUGAAGUUUAUUUUUCUUGAAGUCUGGUGACUGAGGUCAGCAGCAGUGUGUCCUGGGAAAGUGAAAUGUUCUCCCACUAAUUUCUGAACACUGCAAUUUUUAAUGUCACAUUUGUGUCCAUUCUCUUGCGUACAGGCUGACCUGUUCUGCUUUCGCUUUGUUCUUUCUUGUUUCAUCUUUAUACCACUAGAUACUGAAGAGGAGGCAGAAGAGAAAGCAGCACACUGCUCCUUUUCAUUUUGGGCCAAGUCACAUCACAGAACUGGGGCAGUGUCAGUGUUUCCUGCAAAGUAUACACCACAGAUGCGGAACCUCUGUUCCUAUAGGCCAGAUCAGCGCUGAGUGCAAAGCCUGCCGGAAUUGGCUUCACUCAAGAACUACUGAAUGGAGACAAUCCCUGCCACCUUGGUGUUAGCAGGGACCUUUGCAGCUGUGACUUGAAUUCAAGCAAGACUGAAAAGGAAGAGUUGUAUGCCAUCAGGGAACCAACAGAUGGUUGUCCCUACCACCUGCCUCAUGUGUGGGCCGGCCCUGCCAGUGCAUCCUGUAUUUGAAAGUCCCUGCCCUUUCUGAGGUGGAAAACUAAAGUCUCAGUUGCGUGCUGCUGGCUUUCAUGGCUGAACGCUGCUCUGUGCAAAUAAUAAUAAUCCUUGCGUACAUAAAGCUAGCUUCUCUCUGUGCCAUCUAUUUUUAUGAACUUGGUAGGAAUAUAUUUGUAUGGAGGAGUGUUCAAUCCUGUGAUCCUGUCUGCAUUCUGAAAUAGUAGCGCACAGAUGCAAGUUUACCUCCUCAGAGUACUAGGCCCUUGAUGCCAGAUACCUAAUCAAGUCCUUUCUCGUUCCAUUUGCCACUCCUGAUGUCUAAAGGCCUCAGACUGACAGGUAUUAGUAUUAGCAGCCCAGUGUGUGGCAGUAAAGCUAUCAAAUCUCAAGUCGUUUAAAGUAGGCAUUGUAUGCAAAGUCAUCAACAAGCUGAGGUCUGGCACUCUUGGUCACUUGCCAUGCCCUCAGUCAUUCUGUUCCUCCUCAUCUGGCUCGGAACAACCUGUCACUCAAAGCAGCCAAGGACUUAUCCUAGCUUGUGUAUGCAAUAGCUAGAAGGGGAAGCAGCAGAUGUAGUUUAUUUUGGAAAAACCCCAGGGGAGCCCUCUACCCUCGUUUACAUUUCAAAGACGAUGGGGUAACAUCUCCCUGCAUUCUCCCUUUUUAUUAAAGCUGGAUUUAGAACCGCCGGGACUAGAGUCCUCUUCAUGCUCACCUGAGCGUAAGACUCAUUGAACAUAGUGGGUCUUGCUUCCAAGUAAACAUGCAUAGGAUAGAGCCUCACAUGUGUAUAUCAUCAAUUGUCUACAAAGGACCCUGCAAUAUAAAAAUUCUUCUGUUGUUAAAUAUAUUAAAAACCAUCCUGUUAUUAAUGCUUUUCCUUCAGAGUCCUAGGAAUAAUUUCUUUCUUUCUUUCUUUCUUUCUUUCCUAGCUUCCCCCUUUGCUGUGUGGUCCUUCCUGUAGUUUUCAGACGUGAGCAGCACAUGAAAGAUCCACCCUUUGUUUGCUAUUAGGAAUGCGGUUUGGAAACCUGGAAUAUAUUCAAAAGUCUUGCUGUAUAGCAGAUCCAGCUUUUAGAAACACACUUGGUGGCAAUUGUGAACAAUUUUGAAAUCCUGGUCUUACUGUAACAUAUACCGCGUGGAUUUCAAGGGAUCGUGUUUAAGAUCACAACUGCACAGCCCAAUUCUGUGGGUAGCAUUUUGAGGAUAAAAUCACUUGCAUCCACCAAGACCUUGACUCUGCUGUUAUAGCAGAUGAAUCUCAUGGGAUGUUCAGAGCAUAGUCUAGUCCUGUUGUAUUGGAUGAGUUUCAGUUGGUAAGGCUCAAGGAUGUGGACAAGGUGCUUGGAUCAGUCAGGGCGACCACGUGCACUCUAGACCCUUGCCCCUCUUGGCUGAUAAAAACCAGCAGGGAGGGAACAGCUGACUGGGCCAGGGUGUUGAUUAAUGCCUCUUUACGAGAGGGGGUGGUCCCUGCCUGUUUGAAGGAGACAGUGGUAAAACCACUCCUUAAGAAACCUCCACUGGAUUCGGAAAACCUAACAAACUACCAGCCAGUUGCUAAUCUCUCUUUCCUGAGCAAGGUUCUGGAGCGAGUGGUCGCAGACCAGAUCCAGGUGCUUUUGGAAGAAACUCCGGGUAUAGUGUAGUAUAUGAAUUCAAUAAAUAAUAAUAUUUUUAAAAAAAUAAUAUUUAUUGCUUUUAAAAGUUAC